UACGAAGGGAGCUAGCGUUGUUCGGAAUCACUGGGCGUAAAGCGCACGUAGGCGGAUGUGUCAGUCAGGGGUGAAAUCCCGGAGCUCAACUUCGGAACUGCCCUUGAUACAGCACGUCUUGAGUCCGGAAGAGGUGGGUGGAAUUCCUAGUGUAGAGGUGAAAUUCGUAGAUAUUAGGAAGAACACCGGUGGCGAAGGCGGCCCACUGGUCCGGUACUGACGGCUGAGGUGCGAAAGCGUGGGGGAGCAAA
rnacentral:rRNA from 1 species